CAAGUCUGGUGCCAGCAGCCGCGGUAAUUCCAGCUCCAAUAGCGUAUAUUAAAGUUGUUGCAGUUAAAAAGCUCGUAGUUGAACCUUGGGCUUGGUUGGCCGGUCCGCCUUUUUGGCGAGUACUGGACCCAACCGAGCCUUUCCUUCUGGCUAACCUUUCGCCCUUGUGGUGUUUGGCGAACCAGGACUUUUACUUUGAAAAAAUUAGAGUGUUCAAAGCAGGCCUUUGCUCGAAUAUAUUAGCAUGGAAUAAUAGAAUAGGACGUUAUGGUUCUAUUUUGUUGGUUUCUAGGACCAUCGUAAUGAUUAAUAGGGACGGUCGGGGGCAUCAGUAUUCAGUUGUCAGAGGUGAAAUUCUUGGAUUUACUGAAGACUAACUACUGCGAAAGCAUUUGCCAAA
rnacentral:rRNA from 1 species